UCCCAUGGCAGUGCUUUUAAGGACUGAUAAGGGCACUUGUAGCCUUCUGAGGGCCUUGAUCCAAGAAGCAUUAGCAGGAGUGGGGAGUGUGGUGGCAGUAUCAUUGUCAUUUUCAACAAUGGAAACUUUCACAAGGAGUACACCCACAAGAGAGCAAGAAGGAAGGAGAAUGAUCUUAAUGUGCCUAUUUCAAGGGGGAAAAAAAAGAACUGAGUAUUGAUCCUUGGAAAAUGAUCAACAAUUAAAAUAAAAUAUAGACAGCUACAAUCCCAGUGGUCGCAUUGAAGAAGGAAAUGCUUCAUUCACACCUCAUAAGAGCGUUCAGAACAUGAGUGGAGGGCAGAUUUCUUCCUUCAUCAGUGGUUACGAGGCAUCAUAGAAAUACUUUCAUAAACAAAGAAAUUCAGUACAUCCGCCACAGCCUACAAAAGACGCCGCUGUGAUCCUGGAAAUGCUGGGAUUCCCAGGAACACCUGCAGCAAAGCAGAGUUUGGCCAUUCAUCCUUCAAGGACACUGAACGUGCUGCUACCUCAACCUUCGUGGCGAGUCAUUUGUAAUGUUACGUGCAGAAGAUUCUGGUGUCGUGAUCUUUCACUUUUGCCCUGCAUCUAAUACUGAGGAUCAUUCAGCCAUGAUGAAACCAGCUGGAGGAAACUCUCUCCUGCAAGACAUGAAGGCCAAUGAUGGUAUGAAAGAUAUGGGGCUGCUUUGUCAUUUGUUGCUCCAUAUUCCAUAUGUUUGUCUGAUUGGUGUAGGGCAAGGUCUAUUUAUUAAGACGACAGCUUGUGUGAAUUGCAGGCAGCUGACAGCAAAAAAUGAAAGCACCCAGGAAGGCAAUGCAGUGACUGAGCAGAACAGCCUUAAGGGAACUUUUGGGGAUGCUGCGAAAACCCAACGAGGACAAUAGGGCUGGAGGGCUCAGCCUUCCCCAGAGCUGUGCUUUAGGAGACAGCUGUGAGACGAAGGGAAAAAAGGCCAUUUCUGGUAAAGCCAGCCAAUUACUGUUAAGCUAUCAGAACAAUACCAACAGGUAAAGUGGGUGAAGAAGCUAACUCUAGGAAAUACACGAACAUUCCUUCAGACAGAUGGAUCUUUCUAUAUAGGUCAAACUUUUGUUUUCUGCCAGCCCUCUUUCUCACUCCUAGGAUGAUGCCAGCUGCACCACACAGUACUGCUGCUCCCUCGCUCUUGAAAGAAAGCUUUUUCCAGGUGCCAAAUCCAAUCAGAACAAUGUAGGUAGCUCAGCUGAUGACAGGGAACCAGAGCCAACAUGCUGGGAGCAGUAAAAUGCACAGGCAGCUUCAGGAGUCUGCACCACCAGGAGACAAGACAGAGCAGCACCAGGACAUCCCUCCCAGCUCAAGCAACCUUCAGUAUCCCCAAGAGUGCCUGAAAAAUGUAAACGCAGACUAAAGCCAUUUUCUUUUGAGAUCAGCCCUUAAUGAGGCUCCUUGUUACCCACAACCUUGCUGCAGAAUAAAUGAGCCAGUUAAUGCACUGCAGGUAGAUCAGUGCACCAUUGUGCUACGAUUCAGUAGUUCAUGCUUACUACUCUUAAGGAAAAAUAUGAAUAAAUCAUUUAGCAAGAUUUCAUUCCCUUACCCUUUGCAAAGCCUACAAAUUAAUUCCUCAAUGGGCUUUUGUUCUAGCACUUAACCUGAGCUUUUCAGCUGAACCACUGCUCAUUUCUCAGUUCUUGUCUUAUUCUGCAAGAAAAUAGCUUUACAUUAUGCUGCCUACAGUGACUUCUGCCUCUGCUCUUGGUAUAGCUGCACCAGAUGGGUCAGAAUAAAAAACCAAACACGUAUUUGGGUGAGAUCUCUAACACCACAGUGGUUAAUUUUAUCAGAAAAAAACCUCUUUGCUCUUCACAGGACCAUGAGCAAGCACCACUACUGAAGUAUUUCCCUCAGGCUAGCUUUUACCAAGGCCAGAGAAAGUACAAAAAGUGGUUCACUUCUUCAAAAAGAAAGAGGGAAUUUAAAGUAUUUACUGUUUCACUUCCCUCCUCCAGUCUAUUUCUUCUCUCUACUGUUCUUUACGUAGUUGUUUGCUAUUCACUAUUGAGUCCAACCAACCUUUUUUAUAAUGUGCUGGUCCUGAUCGUUGUGGGAAGGAGGGCAUGGAGACUAACGGAGUAAUUACUUCCAGCCUUUUACUAGAAUCUGGCAGCUAGGAAAAGCUUCAGUAGUGUUUUUUCUUGUGACGUAGAAAAAAAACUAAAAAAGAAGCGGUGUUAGUUGGCCAAAAGCUUAGUGACUGAAGAAACUGGCUCCAAAUAUCCAUACCUCAGGGCAAAACCUGGCUUUCUCCAUCCCGGUUAGCUGAUGUUUUCACACGCUAAGCUGUAAAAUUGCUAAGCAGAGGAUUAGGGUUGUGGUUCCUUAGUAUGUAUGACACAUCAGGGCACUUUCGUGCCAUGGCAAGGAGGUAGAGUUGUAGCUAGGAGAUAUGUAAAAGUAAAAUUACAGCAGAAACAAUAAAGGUGGAGAGAAAAUGCUUUGCUCAUCAGCAAGCAUUACUGAGAUACUAGGUGGGAAAAAUGGCAGAAUCUUGAAUGUUGCCUGUUGUCACAGAUCUGGUGCUUUAAGUGUUGGGCUAGAAGCAAAAUGAGGCUGGGAGUGCCAGCAUUC